UCUCUGAGAAUUGGGGUAGGCCACAAAUCCCAGCAAAUGACCCCACAUAUGUAAGACCCCCGAAGCUGGGCCUCCACUCAAGUCCCUGGAUGAGCUGGCCAGCACCCCAAUUACUCAAGAGAAA
rnacentral:pre_miRNA from 7 species